rnacentral:rRNA from 1 species
UACGGAAGGCAGCAGUGGGGAAUAUUGCACAAUGGGCGCAAGCCUGAUGCAGCCAUGCCGCGUGUAUGAAGAAGGCUUUCGGGUUGUAAAGUACUUUCAGUCGUGAGGAAGGUGUUAAGGUUAAUAACCUUAGCAAUUGACGUUAGCGACAGAAGAAGCACCGGCUAACUCCGUGCCAGCAGCCGCGGUAAUACGGAGGGUGCGAGCGUUAAUCGGAAUUACUGGGCGUAAAGGGCACGCAGGCGGUUAAUUAAGUUGGAUGUGAAAUCCCCGGGCUUAACCUGGGAAUGGCAUUCAAGACUGGUUAGCUAGAGUCUUGUAGAGGGGGUAGAAUUCCAUGUGUAGCGGUGAAAUGCGUAGAGAUGUGGAGGAAUACCGGUGGCGAAGGCGGCCCCUGGACAAAGACUGACGCUCAUGUGCGAAAGCGUGGGGAGCAAACAGGGAUUAGAUACC